rnacentral:rRNA from 1 species
UACUACCGAAGCUACGGCAUCAGUAAUGAUGGGUAGGGGAGCUUCCCAUACGGGUUGAAGCAUGACCGUAAGGACAUGUGGACAGUAUGGGAGUGAGAAUGUUGGCAUGAGUAGCGAGAUGUGGGUGAGAAUCCCACAGGCCGUAAACCCAAGGUUUCCAGGGGAAGGUUCGUCCGCCCUGGGUUAGUCGGGACCUAAGCUGAGGCCGAAAGGCGUAGGUGAUGGACAACAGGUUGAUAUUCCUGUACUACCGAUAACCGUUUGAGAGAAGGGAUGACACAGUAGGAUAAGCUAAGCACACGGUUGGUUAUGUGUGCCCAAGCAUUGAGGCAGUCAAAGUAGGCAAA